rnacentral:rRNA from 1 species
CUCAGGAUGAACGCUAGCUACAGGCUUAACACAUGCAAGUCGAGGGGAAACGACAUUGGAAGCUUGCUUCCGAUGGCGUCGACCGGCGCACGGGUGAGUAACGCGUAUCCAACCUGCCCACCACUUGGGGAUAACCUUGCGAAAGUAAGACUAAUACCCGAUGAUAUCCCUAGAAGACAUCUGAAAGGGAUUAAAGAUUUAUCGGUGAUGGAUGGGGAUGCGUCUGAUUAGCUUGUUGGCGGGGUAACGGCCCACCAAGGCGACGAUCAGUAGGGGUUCUGAGAGGAAGGUCCCCCACAUUGGAACUGAGACACGGUCCAAACUCCUACGGGAGGCAGCAGUGAGGAAUAUUGGUCAAUGGACGCAAGUCUGAACCAGCCAAGUAGCGUGCAGGAUGACGGCCCUAUGGGUUGUAAACUGCUUUUAUGCGGGGAUAAAGUUAGGGAUGUAUCCCUUUUUGCAGGUACCGCAUGAAUAAGGACCGGCUAAUUCCGUG